GAUGAACGCUGGCGGUGUGCCUAAUACAUGCAAGUCGAGCGAACAGACGAGGAGCUUACUCCUCUGACGUUAGCGGCGGACGGGUGAGUAACACGUGGAUAACCUACCUAUAAGACUGGGAUAACUUCGGGAAACCGGAGCUAAUACCGGAUAACAUGGUGAACCGCAUGGUUCAACAGGGAAAGACGGUCUUGCUGUCACUUAUAGAUGGAUCCGCGUCGCAUUAGCUAGUUGGUAAGGUAACGGCUUACCAAGGCAACGAUGCGUAGCCGACCUGAGAGGGUGAUCGGCCACACUGGAACUGAGACACGGCCCAGACUCCUACGGGAGGCAGCAGUAGGGAAUCUUCCGCAAUGGGGGAAAGCCUGACGAAGCCACGCCGCGUGCGUGAAGAAGGUCUUCGGAUCGUAAAACUCUUUUAUUAGGGAAGAACAAAUGUGUACGUAACUAUGCACGUCUUGACGGUACCUAAUCAGAAAGCCACGGCUAACUACGUG
rnacentral:rRNA from 1 species